ACAUAGCGACUAUCGUGGCAUAUCAAUAAGCGGAGGAAAAGAAACUAACAAGGAUUCCCCUAGUAACGGCGAGUGAAGCGGGAAGAGCUCAAAUUUGAAAUCUUAAAGGGUUUCCCUUUACGAAUUGUAGUUUAAAGAAGUGUUUUCUGUUGGAGUUUCGGUAAAAGUUCUUUGGAAUAGGACAUCAUAGAGGGUGAGAAUCCCGUAUUUGAUCCGUUACUUUCCAGCUGUGUGAUACACUUUCAAAGAGUCGGAUUGUUUGGGAAUGCAGUCCUAAAAUGGGUGGUAAAUUUCAUCUAAAGCUAAAUAUUGGCGAGAGACCGAUAGCGAACAAGUACCGUGAGGGAAAGAUGAAAAGAACUUUGAAAAGAGAGUUAAACAGUACGUGAAAUUGUCAAAAGGGAAGCGUUUGACACCAGUGUUGUUUUCUCGAAAAUCAAUUAAAAAUGAUGGGAUUUUGUGUUGUAUUGACUUUAUCAGCUUUCUGCACUUUUUUCUUAUCUUUUUUAAUGCACUUUUCGUUUAACAAGUCAACAUCAAUUUCUUUUGUUGUAAAAGAGUCAUUGGAAGGUGGCUUUUUCUUCGGAAAAAGUGUUUAUAGCCUUUGGCUUCUGCAAUCGGAGAGAUUGAGGUCUGCAGCGUAGAUCCUUCGGGGUUAGAUACAUUUGUGCUAAGCUAUAGUUCUUUAUAGACAACUUGUUGACUAUAAUCAAUCCCUGUAACUUACUCGCUUAUGCUAUUUUACCUACGCUAGGAUGUUGAUAGUCACAGCGUGUAC
rnacentral:rRNA from 1 species